UACCCGCAGCUCAAGUGGUGGUCAUUAUUAUUGGGCCUAAAGCGUCCGUAGCUGGCUUGUUAGAUGCCUGGGUAAAUCGAUGCGCUUAACGUAUCGAAUUCCGGGUAGACCGGCAAGCUCGAGGCCGGGAGAGGCGUGAGCUACUCAAGGGGUAGGGGUAAAAUCCUGUAAUCCUUUGGGGAGGACCAGUGGCGAAGGCGUCACGCUAGAACGGCUCUGACAGUGAGGGACGAAGCCCUGGGGCGCAAACCGG
rnacentral:rRNA from 1 species